GGUGUAUGUUUAACAUACACCCUGCUGUACUGAAAGCAUAAAUCAACUAUUGCAUCAUUAAUAAAUGAUGCAAUAGUCUAUUUUUGUGAAUGGUGUAAGAAAGUGCAUAAAUGACGUAAGGGAAGCCAUUAACGUAAAAUUAGCAAAAUUUUGAGAAUAAAUGUAAGUUAGAAAGUUUUAGGUAUGGCUUUCUUUUUUUUAAUUUGUUUUUUAAACGCCACAAAUGUACGAAACAGUAGGCAUUGAAAAGCCAUCAGAGUACAAAACAGUAAAAAUUAAAAAACUCAAGACUUAGUAGCUUCAUGAUGAUGUCACGUUUAGUAAUUUUUCUCGUCUUUUUUAACAACGUGGAAUCUAAACGUAUGUGGAAUCUAUCAGAUGAUUAUUAGAGAAAAAAGGGCAAACAUUAAUUCAACAUUUAUACCAACUCGUUGUGGGUUAUACUCAAUGACAAUACAACUAAUGAAAAUACAUCUUCAGCCAGCUCACCUUUUGAUUUACCAAAUUGUGGGAGCUCAAUUCUAUAUGGGUUAUAAAAUGUUUCAAACAGUAUUAUAUUUGUUAAAUGAAAUAUGGUAUAAAUACCAAAGAAAUUAACAGAAAGACAACGCUACACGUUGCUGUACAAAAACUAAGAUUUUGUUUGCCUACACGUAAAGUGUUUGCAUGACGUCAAUGGAUUACGCAGUGUACCUUGUAUACUGCGUAAUCCAUUGACGUCAUGCAAACCCUAUACGUGUAGGCAAGUUUAUCCUUUGAGAAUGUUUAGACUUGUUUAUAAUCUUAUUCAGUUACUGUUUCAUUUUAAAAUAAAUGAUAAUUUUUUAGAUUCUUAUGGUUUGAACGUUGUACAUGAUGAAACAGUUGAAAUAAAUUAUAAUGCGUUAUUUACAUUGCUAAAAUUUGAAGCAAAUCCUAAUACCUUUGAACAUGAUUAAGUUAAUAAGCAAUACAUACAACUAAUCGAUUUGAAAAUUAUGAGAUACGCAGCAUUUUAUUAAUAAAAGUAUUAAAUAACCAACAAGAUGUUUAUUUAAAUUAAGUUUUUUGCAUUAUGCAGCAGUUGAAGACAAAUACCAAAACUUUACAAAAUAUUCAGAUGAUUUCUAUAAAGAUAAAAUAGGAUUGACAACAGAAUGGCAUCAAUAUUUAAUUGAAGAAAAACUGCAUACAGUUUAUUUUUAAAAACCUGAACAAAGCGUUUAAUUAUCGUCAUACUUGAUGGGGGAAAAGGCGCUUUUUUCAACGUUUAAAAAGUAUUGACCAGACGGGAUUUAUUUUGUUAAAGAGCUUGUCAGGUAAUUUUUAAGAAAUGUCCUCUUAAACCAACUGAGUUUUUUAAAAAUGAAGCUAAACAUGCCAUGGAGUUUAUGAAGAAAAUAAUAAAAUAAUAAACAUCUUUUAGAUCAUUUACUGUCAUAAGGUAGUUUACGAAAAGGUGAGUGAAAUUUACAAGAAGAUUAAAAACGAGAAGAUGUAAAGAUUAAAGUACCAAAAAAUUGUGACUAUAUGUGGAUAUCAGACGCAUUUAGUGAUAACUGAAUAUCUUUUAGUAAUACCAGUGAAGUUCAUCCAUCCUUUACUCAAUUUAAAGUUGAUAAAAUAAUGUUACUUUACGAACAUAAUUUGGUUCUAUUAUGAUUAAUGCAACAUUUCAUUGCAAUGAAAUACACGUAAUAUUACGACGUUUCAAUGUCAUAAUGUUACAUUUAGAGGAAAGACGCCUAUGAUAGAAUACUUAACUAUGAAGCUGCAACAUUCAAUAUCUUGAAGACCGAGAGCAAAAGAUUUUUUAUGGAUACGUUUUUUGUUACUUGUAGAACAAUAAUAACCCUAGGAGUUUUCAUCAGUUUUAUUUUUUUUUA